rnacentral:pre_miRNA from 1 species
AACGGCAAAGACUGUUGAUAUGCUAAUGUUAGGAUCAUAUCACAGUAUUUUUGCUGUUCU